GUAAUAUUUCACUGCUUAGUAUGUAAAACACAAUCAAUCAUCAAAAAAGCCAUUUUGUAAACUCUGACAUCUGAGUACAACAGACACAAUCAAACAUUAAUGUCAUCCAGAAAGGCAAAUUCACAUUGAAAUACGUUAUGUUCAUACAAAGUACAUGCAUAACUUUUGGUAAGAUCUUCUCUAUUUUAUAAACACCUUUUACUGUCACAAUGCUCACUGCUCCUAAUUGAUCAUCACUCAACCAUUUUGUGAAUAUACUGUAUGUAUUUUACAUAGUUUUCCCUACUAUGUUCAGAUUAAAAAGUGCAUAAUAACCAACCAACCUAAUGCCAUGGAUUUGUAUAUGACCUCAGUGGGAUUCCAACCCACAACCUUGGUGCCAGUAGUGUUGGCUGUCUCGCCCCUUCAGGUCGGUUCCCGAUACUCACUGCCAAAUCUCUUCUGUCCUGGCACCUCAAUGGUGGAACCAGCUUCCCUUGGAGGCUAGGAUAGCAGAGCCUCUACCUGUCUUCAAAACUAACCUUUUCACAGAGUACUUAAUAUAGUUCUACUGCAACCACCCCUGUCUCUUGUUAAUUUUAUGUUUAAUGUUUAUUUGUAAAGUCUUCUCUCCAGCACAGACCUUUGCCGAUAACUAAUUAAUUGAGUAGAAUACAAUAACUAUUAAACUGUGUUUUUGUUUCACCUAGCUCUUUUACUGUUUUUCCCAGUCGUUUAUAUACUGUGACCGAAAGCACACACAGAGGGAUCAGAUGUUCAAGCUAACAUCCCGGAACCAUGAGCCAUUUCUGUGGAACCAAGCAUACGUUCUAGUUUAUUCAACUCAAUUUGCAAGUCCAGUUCACUCACGUGGCAAAACACUACAAUACAACUCCCAAUGUGUGAGCACAAUAUUGCCAUUGAGAAAACACCUGUUCCAUUUGUGAGAAUACAUGAGUCACAAGACAAAACAUAAAGUGUCAAUGUAUUACAAGUACAACAAGCUUCACCUGUGCAAACACAACUAACCAAAGUGUUCAAUCGGUUCUUUGUUCUUUCAGGUAUAAAAAAGGACACACAAGAGGUGGAAACAUUGAGUGGAGGUCCCUGGCCAAAGGGUUGGAAACAUCACCAAGGGUGAAGGUCCCUGGCCAAAGGGUUGGAAACAUCACCAAGGGUGGAGGUCCCUGGCCAAAGGGGUGGAAACAUCACCAUGGGUGAAGGUCCCUGGCCAAAGGGGUGGAAACAUCACCAUGGGUGGAGGUCCCUGGCCAAAGGGGUGGAAACAUCACCAUGGGUGAAGGUCCUUGGCCAAAGGGUUGGAAACAUCAACAUCCGUGCUACUAAAGACAACAUAUGGCCCCAGGCUCACCAACCAACCCCAGAUCCUAAUGAUUCUCUUUCCACCAUAUUCACCAAUUCAAUUGAGGAUUUUUUUCUCAGCUUGGCAAUGGAAGGUGUAUGAUCGGAACUCUCAUUAGCAAGUGAGUCUUCUCCAGGUAGUGGAGGCGGUCUGUGGUGAGAUCACUGCAGUGGCAUGCCAAGGAUGGAUCCGGCAUGCUAUGUGUUUUUCCCCCCUCUGCUUGGCCAGGGAACACAAUUGUGAUGUGGAUGAAAACAUGUGGCCAACUCAGCAUGGCAGGGAGUACAAUGCCUGAGAUUUAUUUUCUCUCCGUUCUUGUGUACUGUAUAAUAGUGUAACUUUUUGUUUCUUGAUGAUAUAAAAUGUAUGUGUCAUACAUCUCUGGAAAAAAAUUUGACCACUGCAAAAAAUGAAGAGACUACUGCACCUAUUUCUUUCCUUUCCAAAAAAAGUUGGAAAGGAAGGUUUUGAGUGAGGAACAGAAGGGUUAAAAUUAAGAGACCACUGCAAAUUGAAUGCUUUCGUUCCUCAAUCAAAACAUUCCUUUUCAACUUUUUUGGAAAGGAAAGAAAUAGGUUCAGUAGGCUCUUAAUUUUUUCCAGACCUGUACAUUUUUAUAUUUUUGGGUGGCCAGGAUCAAACUUUAUGUAAAAUGUUCCUCUGAGAAUCUUUCAUUUUGAUGAGAGAGUUUUUUUAUACACACAAUGUUUUCUUAAUGCUCCGUGUGUGCAACAUAUAUGACUGUGUGCAUGAUUCUGACCUGAUUAUUUGAUUUUGAGGGCUGUUCGUAUAGUUAUUAGGCCAGAAUUAAACAUGUUCCCUGUGUGUGUAAGUUUUGGAGAUGUGACUUGUUAUAAUAGGCUUUGUGUUAACAGUUUGGGGAUAUUGGGAUAUAAUUGAGAGAAUAGUGUGUAUUCAAUUGGGAAAAACUAUCAAAUGUAUGCAUUUACUGUAAGUUGCAUUUACAGCAUUUGCUAAAUGACUAAAACAUAAAUGUAAAAUGUGGUGUGCUAACAACUGAUCCUCAAAAGACCACUCCAUUGCCCGUAACAGUGCGUCAAAUACAGGCCAAGAUUGCCAUCCGUAGUAGUAACCACAACUGGUAAAUAUACAACCAUGUAAACCAUGUGAACACUGGCAAUGUCUUUCAAUAUGGAGCAGGAUAGGCAGCUAGGUAGAGAAGUAAAUCAGAAAACCACUAGACAAGGUCAAAAAUAUAAACUGAGCUGCUGUGAACAAUCAAAAUCACUUCUACCUGGCCAAAACUUAACACAUUGUCUGCAGAAUAUCAAUGGCAAAUGAGUGACUGUCCAUGUGCCUGGACAUCGUAGUGGAAACAUAUCCAUGUGUGCAGCCCUAUCUGAAGAUGGGGUGGUAGGACAAAAGCCUCUUAUUGGGUCUUCCAAUGCUGAGUUUCUCAAUUAAAUUGUGUGGGAUACUGUUAGGUUCCACAUUUUAGACGUGAUUCAAGAAUGGUUUUGGGCUAAUACCUGAUUCCUGACCCUAGACCUGGCCCAUAAUCUCCUUUUUCAUUGAGGAGGUGGAAGGACUAUGACCACCAUCCACAUGAGCAUGUCUCUCUUCUUCAGCUCAUGGAUAAGCCAUGUUUGGAUUCACCAUGCCGAAGGAUUAUAU
ensembl:lncRNA